CCUACGGGAGGCUGCAGUGGGGAAUCUUGCGCAAUGCACGAAAGUGUGACGCAGCAACGCCGCGUGCGGGAAGACGGCCUUCGGGUUGUAAACCGCUUUCAGGAGGGACGCGGUACCUCCAGAAGAAGCCCCGGCUAACUACGUGCCAGCAGCCGCGGUAAUACGUAGGGGGCAAGCGUUGUCCGGAAUUAUUGGGCGUAAAGCGCGUGUAGGCGGCUCGGUAAGUCCGCUCUGAAAGCCCGAGGCUCAACCUCGGGAGGCGGGUGGAUACUGUCGAGCUCGAGUCCGGAAGAGGAGUGUGGAAUUCCUGGUGUAGCGGUGAAAUGCGCAGAUAUCAGGAGGAACACCAAUGGCGAAGGCAGCACUCUGGGAGUACUGACGCUGAGACGCGAAAGCGUGGGGAGCAAACAGGAUUAGAUACCCUUGUAGUC
rnacentral:rRNA from 1 species